rnacentral:rRNA from 1 species
CACGUAGGGGGCAAGCGUUGUCCGGAUUUAUUGGGCGUAAAGAGCUCGUAGGCGGCUCAGUAAGUCAGGUGUGAAACCUCCAGGCUCAACCUGGAGACGCCACCUGAUACUGCUGUGGCUAGAGUCCGGUAGGGGAGCGUGGAAUUCCUGGUGUAGCGGUGAAAUGCGCAGAUAUCGGGAAGAACACCCGUGGCGAAGGCGGCUCUCUGGGACGGUACUGACGCUGAGACGCGAAAGCGUGGGGAGCGAACAGG